AACGAACGCUGGCGGCAUGCCUAACACAUGCAAGUCGAACGAGACCUUCGGGUCUAGUGGCGCACGGGUGCGUAACGCGUGGGAACCUGCCCUUAGGUUCGGAAUAACUCCCCGAAAGGGGUGCUAAUACCGGAUAAUGUCUUCGGACCAAAGAUUUAUCGCCUUUGGAUGGGCCCGCGUUGGAUUAGCUAGUUGGUAGGGUAAAAGCCUACCAAGGCGACGAUCCAUAGCUGGUCUGAGAGGAUGAUCAGCCACACUGGGACUGAGACACGGCCCAGACUCCUACGGGAGGCAGCAGUGGGGAAUAUUGGACAAUGGGCGAAGGGCUGAUCCAGCAAUGCCGCGUGAGUGAUGAAGGCCUGAGGGUUGUAAAGCUCUUUUACCCGGGAUGAUAAUGACAGUACCGGGAGAAUAAGCUCCGGCUAACUCCGUG
rnacentral:rRNA from 1 species